rnacentral:rRNA from 1 species
UGGGGAAUUUUACACAAUGGGCGAAAGCCUGAUGUAGCAACGCCGCGUGGAGGAUGACGGAUCUAGGUCUGUAAACUCCUUUUAUAAGGGAAGAAAUUUGACGGUACCUUAUGAAUAAGCCCCGGCCAACUACGUGCCAGCAGCCGCGGUAACACGUAGGCAGCGAGCGUUGUUCGGAGUUACUGGGCGUAAAGAGUGCGUAGGCGGCGAGCCAAGUUUGGUGUGAAAUCUCCCGGCUUAACCGGGAGGGUGCGCCGAAAACUGGUUAGCUGGAGUAUGGGAGAGGAAAGCGGAAUUCCUGGUGUAGCGGUGAAAUGCGUAGAUAUCAGGAGGAACACCUGCGGUGUAGACAGCUUUCUGGACCAAAACUGACGCUGAGGCACGAAAGCGUGGGUAGCAAACA